rnacentral:lncRNA from 1 species
CGCUUUUCCCACCCAAGGUGUGAAGGGCGGAGACUGGGCGGGGAAAUAGAGGGGCGUGCUUCCUCCUCUUAAAGGAGCCCUGCAGGACUCUGGCUACCCAGCAACGGGAUCUAGAAGUGGCCUAAGGAUCGGCCCGUUAAGCCUAGGGGAGAAGAGAAAGUUGGGACCGUAAUGCAUCGGUUUGGCAGUUAUCUGCACCCAAGGAUUGUUCCGAUCCUCCCAGACUGCAAACAGCACAGUGGAUUUACAGCAAACGCGCACCCUUUUUUCAGGUGUCUUUCCAGGAGGAAAAAAGAAAAGAAAAGAAAAGAAAAGAAAGAUUUAAAACUUUCACGAGUUUCUCAGCUAUUUCUUCAAAGGAAUGCCACAAAGGGUUAAUUAUUACCUGUAAAACCCCUAAGGACUCAAGAGUGAUGACAGCCUGCUCUAAGUCUGUCUUGCGCUUGUCUCCCAAGAAAAACACAACUGUGUACUCAUUAACUCCUUCUCUCCAAUAAUCUUGUCAAGGAGAUGGAUGGGGAGAAAGUUAGUGAGGGAGCUAAUGAGUCUGGGGAUGGAAAGGAAGAGAAUUCUGAUGUCUCCCUGCCUCCGGUUCCAGCAUUUUCCUCUGAGAGAGGUGAGAAGAAGUGGUUUUUGUGCAGUCUCUGGCUAGUGUCAAACUGCAGCUGCUGUGCCUCCACAACCAGAAUGUGUGAUGCCUGUGACUCAGCUGUGACCUGCAACGGGUUCCUGCCCUCAUCUAAGAACUAUUAAUAUCAACUAACAACUGUGGGGUCCACUCCCUGACACAAGCCACGUCCUGGGGACACUUGUCCUUUACCUGUGAAAUUACCAUUUUAACUGAUUGACUCAAAGGAUUUUUUUUUUCCCCACAGUGACUCAAAGGAUUUUUAAAAGUUACAAAAAAAAAAAAAAAAUUCUGACCAUCUUGAAACCCUGCAGCUCACCAGGAGAGGCAGCUCCUUACCUCCAAAGAUGGACUGAUGACAUCACCAGAGGCAUAUUGGAGAGGCAAGUGAAAUAUUAGGGGUGCAGAGAAACAAGGUUUAUUCUUCACUGCCAGCAACUCCAAAGAAACAGUUGGAUGUAUACAGGAUGCAAGACAUGUGUCACACUGUAGAAUGACCAGCCUCAUGGAGUAAUAUACCUUGUGUGUGUGUGUUUUUUAAAGCAAUUGCAUAUACAGCCCCAGUUGUCACUUACGUGGCAUUUGUUUGUGUCUGUGACACUGCUGAGUGGUUUAUAUAUUUCUCCAUUGGGGGAGGAUACAAGAGAAAUGUAAUAGCCACAUGGGCUAAUACGUGACAGGAGCAAGAUUGCAAGCCAGCUCUUUGGACACCAGACUCUCUUGUGAGAGUUGUGCCUCCUAAAGUUUGGGUUGGAGCAGAGGCUGUUGUUCUGAUUUGAGACUGAGUCUCACUAUGUUGCCCAGACUGAUCUUGAACUCUUAAGCUUAAGUGGC